rnacentral:rRNA from 1 species
GAUGAAAGCUGGCGGCGUGCUUAACACAUGCAAGUCGAACGGAAAGGCUCCUGCUUGCAGGGGUACUCGAGUGGCGAACGGGUGAGUAACACGUGGGUGAUCUGCCCUGCACUUCGGGAUAAGCCUGGGAAACUGGGUCUAAUACCGGAUAGGACGAUGGUUUGGAUGCCAUUGUGGAAAGUUUUUCGGUGUGGGAUGAGCUCGCGGCCUAUCAGCUUGUUGGUGGGGUAAUGGCCUACCAAGGCGUCGACGGGUAGCCGGCCUGAGAGGGUGUACGGCCACAUUGGGACUGAGAUACGGCCCAGACUCCUACGGGAGGCAGCAGUGGGGAAUAUUGCACAAUGGGCGCAAGCCUGAUGCAGCGACGCCGCGUGGGGGAUGACGGCCUUCGGGUUGUAAACUCCUUUCGCUAGGGACGAAGCGCAAGUGACGGUACCUGGAGAAGAAGCACCGGCUAACUACGUG